rnacentral:lncRNA from 1 species
CCCGGCCCGGCCCGGCUCGGCGGCGUGUGGGGAGGAAGCAGCGCCGGCUGCGCGGCGGGCGGCUGCUCGGCUCCUCCGCCCCCCGUCUCCUCCCCUCCGCCGCCGAUCCGCCUUCUCCUCCUCCUCCUCCUCCUCCUCUUCGCGGCGGCGGCGGCGGCUGCUUUCUCGGCCCCGGCUCCUUGCUUUUCCCCGCGGCUUCCCCUCGCUCCUCUCCGGGAGGCUCCCGAGCAGCGCUGGAGAGGACGGCACUGCUGCAAGGAGCCUCUGGGACUUCCAGGGUGGAGAGAACCUGCCUCUGCCUGGACACCUCUGCUAAAGGUGAAGACCUCCCAACGCACCAGGCAGCCUUAGCAAGAGCUCAGAAAUCUUACAUCAAGCCUGUUACCUCUUUACUGGAAGGAAGCAUCUCUGUUCAUCUUCCUGUCAUCCUCCUGUCAUCUCUAGAUCAGGCCUUUCCAGUGUGAUUAAUGAGCUUUGCUGACCAUUUCUGCAAACGGGGUUCCUUUCCAUCGUGCCUCCGUGCAGGUACCCCACACUAGCCACGCUUCUGUAAGAGCUUGCCCCAAGGAGCUGCUUCUGCCCCUCCUCCUGCUCUCCGUGGGUGUCUCGGGCAGUGGUGGCAUGUUACUGACCUGAAUCUUGACAGCUUCGCUGCUGCCUGCAGGGCUCUGAGCCGUGUGGGUGCUUACUGCCUUAAAGUCACAUUUAUUUUGCUCUUUUUUGUGCCGGCUACUUGGCACGUUUGCUGCACGGGGUGCCUAAAGGAUCCUGCUCUGCACCUUCAUUAAAACCUCACAGAGCAACAGCCGAGCAGAUCAUGCCCCCAUCUCAUGCUAAAGUAUACAGGAUUUGGGUUCUUCAUCUGUAGUGGGGCUUGAUGAGAAGUGUUUUUUCCUAUGGUAUGUUUAAAAAAAAAAGGGAUGCUUCUUUACUAUAGACUGUGUUUUUUAGCUCUCUAAAGAGCCAGAGUUUUUGCAAGUGUUUUCUUUUUCCUUAUGGUACAAAGCAACUUAUACUUUCUUAAUUUACUUCAGCAUGACUCUGAAGCCUUAAAUUUGCAUCAAAAGCAUGUCUGCAACUAAGUCUUAAAACACAUCCAUUCUUAGAAGACAUCUACAAAUACUAAAUCCGUCUGGUGUUGAAUUGCCAUGAUUAUUUUUGCAAGCUUGCUGAAACUGGAUUGAUGCUUUCCUCAUCUUCAAGUACUAUGUACAUCUGCCACUUAUAGCAACUCUUCUGGCUUUUGCAGAACAUCGUACUGGAAGCAUUAAGAUCCUAUGCAAAGCUUUCUUUUUUUUUCUGCUUCUCACCAAAAUUAAGUCAGUGCAUAUAAAUACUUGACGGGGAAGAAUAAAGAAGAUGGAGCCAAGCUCUUCUCA